UUUCUUCUGGUUUGGGUGAUAUGUAUAUUUCUUUCCUUUUGCUUAGUACAAUCUGUUCCUUCUUUUUCUCUCAUUUCUUCCCUCCCCCUGCUGCCCUUGAGUUGCUUGGUUUGCUUUCGUUAAUGUCCACUGCAGCUCUUGGGUCCCUUCUAUUGUA